rnacentral:rRNA from 1 species
UACGUAGGGUGCAAGCGUUAAUCGGAAUUACUGGGCGUAAAGCGCGCGCAGGCGGUUCGCUAAGACAGAUGUGAAAUCCCCGGGCUUAACCUGGGAACUGCAUUUGUGACUGGCGGGCUAGAGUAUGGCAGAGGGGGGUAGAAUUCCACGUGUAGCAGUGAAAUGCGUAGAGAUGUGGAGGAACACCAAUGGCGAAGGCAGCCUUCUGGGCCAACACUGACGCUCAUGCACGAAAGCGUGGGGAGCAAACAGG